rnacentral:rRNA from 1 species
UACAGAGGGGGCGAGCGUUGUUCGGAAUUACUGGGCGUAAAGGGCGCGUAGGCGGCCUGCUAAGUCAUACGUGAAAUCCCUCGGCUCAACCGAGGAACUGCGUCUGAUACUGGUUGGCUUGAAUUCGGGAGAGGGAUGCGGAAUUCCAGGUGUAGCGGUGAAAUGCGUAGAUAUCUGGAGGAACACCGGUGGCGAAGGCGACAUCCUGGACCGGUAUUGACGCUGAGGCGCGAAAGCCAGGGGAGCAAACGGG